AGAGUUGAUCCUGGCUCAGAACGAACGCUUGGCGGCGUGCUUUACACAUGCAAGUCGCACGAGAACAUUCCUUCGGGAAAUCAGUAAAGUGGCGCACGGGUGAGUAAUACGUAGGUAAUCUGCCUGUUGGACGGGGAACAACCCCGGGAAACCGGAGCUAAUUCCGCGUAAUCUGGAGAAACAUUAAGUUUCUUCAGGAUAGAUGGCCUAUCCAUGGAAGCUAUCGACGACAGAUGAGCCUGCGCACCAUCAGCUUGUUGGUGGGGUAAAAGCCUACCAAGGCUACGACGGUUAGCUGGUCUGAGAGGAUGACCAGCCACACUGGAACUGAAACACGGUCCAGACUCCUACGGGAGGCAGCAGUGGGGAAUAUUGCGCAAUGAGCGAAAGCUUGACGCAGCGACGCCGCGUGAGUGAUGAAGGCCUUCGGGCCGUAAAACUCUGUCAAAAGGGACGAAAACCUUGCAGAAGUAAUACUCUGCAAGUCUGACUGUACCUUUAGAGGAAGCACCGGCUAACUCCGUGCCAGCAGCCGCGGUAAUACGGAGGGUGCUAGCGUUGUUCGGAAUCACUGGGCGUAAAGGGCCCGUAGGCGGCCUACGAAGUUUGGUGUGAAAGCCCCCGGCUUAACCGGGGAAUAGCGCUGAAAACCAGUAGGUUAGAGUUCGGUAAGGGAUCAUGGAAUUCCUAGUGUAGCAGUGAAAUGCGUAGAUAUUAGGAAGAACACCGGUGGCGAAAGCGAUGAUCUAGGCCGAAACUGACGCUCAGGGGCGAAAGCGUGGGGAGCAAACAGGAUCAGAUACCCUGGUAGUCCACGCCGUAAACGAUGGAUACUA
rnacentral:rRNA from 1 species